rnacentral:misc_RNA from 1 species
GCCCCGACCCUCAAAACCAAUCUUCCAAUCCCCCUCAAUCCGAUUCCAAUUCCUCCUUCUCAGGUGAUCCUCAGGUCCGUCUUGCCCUUUACAUCGCCAUGGCCCACGCCGGCCUUGCCUUCACCAUUCUCACCCUCUACGCCGUCGGUCGUAUUCUCGAGGCCUAUCUCCGCCCCCUUCAGUGGGCCGUCCUCUGUUCUAUCCCUCUUCGUGGAAUUCAACAAACCCUUGAAGGGUUCUGGUCUGAACCCCUUCAAUUGGGCCUUACCGAGACUCUUCUCGCCAUCCCUGUUGCUGUUUUUCAGGUUUUUG